AAUGCAUUAUGCAAUACCAAUAAGAAUGCAUUCGCGUGAUCUCUGUCUACUUUGUAUUUAAAGAAUAAUUUUUCUUCCCGUUUCCAGAAGCGGGACAAUAGACAGAGGAAAGAUGGAUAGAUUUCUUCUGUGUGUUGUGGGUGUAAUUUUGUUACUUUCUCUUAGUUACUCAGAUGCUACAUCGAGUACUAACCCUUCAGCCGCUACAUCGAGUACUACCACUGGCGCACCCAAAGGAAAUGGAGGGACUGCUGUCACCGGAAAUAUGAUGAUCGUUGCUAUAGCUAUGACUUUGGGAAAUCUGAUUAUGAAGAACUAAUACAGAAAAUGUGAUGACUCUCAAUCUUGAAUUGUAAUACAUCGAACCGAGGUCUACCACCAAUGGAAUAAAAUCAAAGAAUUAUGCUGCAAUUUUUAAAAGAAUUUAUUUUACAAUGAAAUAUCUUGAUAUGAUGAACCCUAAUAAAUUUAAUUCUUCCCUUUG